CUACAUUCUCUAUGAAACAGGAGUUUAAUGAUUCCUGACAUAGGCAACAGCUGAAUGAGUGUUUAGGAAUUUAAAUUCUGAGCCUCAGCACUGAAGACACAUAGUGGAGAUCCAUCUGGUUAAAAAUGAAAGGGGAGAAUAUGUUGACAUGUGUGUGGUACAGUGCCAGCAGUCAGCUCAAAAAUUGAAGUGUCUGCUUUAUACGCCUGAUUCAACAUGAGCUGAAUGGGUUUCUGAAGCUCUUACACCUUGUUCCUGGAGUGGGAAGAUCUCUGUUUCACCAGAAAAUCCUUCCCUGGCUGAGACUGAAGGCAGUGUGACCGUGUGUUGAAGGCAGUGCACCUGUGAGAGGGCUUCGCUGAGAUCUUCCUGCGUAGCAUUUGCAAGAUAUGUCACGCCCUAACUCACAUCUCUAUCAAUAUUUGCACUCCUAAAAUGAGAUGACUGCCUGGGAGAACAGACUGGGGUGCUACAGAGCUGGGAGCAGUCAGCAUCCUCUGGGAGGUGCUGGUGCUUUACAUUAUUCCCAGACUGUAUGUUGUGGGACCUAUCCUCCUCAGGAGGCACUGAAUGCUGUUUAUUCACGCACAAUCUGGGGAAGCCGAGCAGUCUUGAAAAAUUGGUCUCAAAAG